GACGAACGCUGGCGGCGUGCUUAACACAUGCAAGUCGAAAGAAGUGGCGAACGGGGGAGUAAUACGUGGGUAACCUGCCCUCCUCUUUGGGGUAAGCCUUGGGAACGGGGUCUAAUACCGCAUAAAGGGGGAUGGGCUCCCGGCUUGUCAGGUUGUUGGUGGGGGGAUGGGCUACCAAGGCGGUGACGGGUAGCCGGGAGGGGCGGGUGACUGGGAACAUGGGGACGGAGAUACGGCCUAGAGUGCUAUGGGAGGCGGCAGUGGGGGAAAUGGCACAAUGGGCGAAAGACGGAUGCAGCGACGCGGCGUGGGGGAUGAGGUCUUGAGGGUUGUAAACCUCUGUCGCUAUCGAACGGGUAGGUGGAGAAGAAGCGCCGGCUAACUACGUGCCAGCAGCCGCGGUAAUUC
rnacentral:rRNA from 1 species